rnacentral:rRNA from 1 species
GAUGAACGCUGGCGGCGUGCCUAAUACAUACAAGUCGAGCGAACAGACGAGGAGCUUGCUCCUCUGACGUUAGCGGCGGACGGGUGAGUAACACGUGGAUAACCUACCUAUAAGACUGGGAUAACUUCGGGAAACCGGAGCUAAUACCGGAUAAUAUAUUGAACCGCAUGGUUCAAUAGUGAAAGACGGUUUUGCUGUCACUUAUAGAUGGAUCCGCGCCGCAUUAGCUAGUUGGUAAGGUAACGGCUUACCAAGGCAACGAUGCGUAGCCGACCUGAGAGGGUGAUCGGCCACACUGGAACUGAGACACGGUCCAGACUCCUACGGGAGGCAGCUGUAGGGAAUCUUCCGCAAUGGGCGAAAGCCUGACGGAGCAACGCCGCGUGAGUGAUGAAGGUCUUCGGAUCGUAAAACUCUGUUAUUAGGGAAGAACAAAUGUGUAAGUAACUAUGCACGUCUUGACGGUACCUAAUCAGAAAGCCACGGCUAACUACGUG